CACGUAGGGUGCAAGCGUUGUCCGGAAUCAUUGGGCGUAAAGAGCUCGUAGGCGGCUUAGUAAGUCGGGUGUGAAAACCCCAGGCUCAACCUGGGGACGCCACCCGAUACUGCUAUAGCUAGAGUCCAGUAGGGGAGUGUGGAAUUCCCAGUGUAGCGGUGAAAUGCGCAGAUAUUGGGAGGAACACCAGUGGCGAAGGCGGCUCACUGGGCACCACCUGACGCUGAGGCGCGAAAGCGUGGGGAGCGAACCGG
rnacentral:rRNA from 1 species